GGCUGCCUGGCCCAAUGGUCAAGGCGCUUGACUACGACCGCGUACAGCUUCCGGUGCAAUGGUCUGCUAUCAAGAGAUUCCAGGUUCGAGUCCUGGGGUGGUCG
rnacentral:tRNA from 1 species